GACGAACCGAGCGAACGUUGUUCGGAAUAACUGGGCUUAAAGGGCGCGUAGGCGGGGCGCCAAGUUCGAGGUGAAAUCCUCCGGCUCAACCGGAGAACUGCCUCGAAUACUGGAGGCCUCGAGGCGGGUAGGGGCAUGCGGAACUGUGGGUGGAGCGGUGAAAUGCGUUGAUAUCCACAGGAACUCCGGUGGCGAAGGCGGCAUGCUGGACCCGAUCUGACGCUGAGGCGCGAAAGCCAGGGGAGCAAACGGG
rnacentral:rRNA from 1 species